rnacentral:rRNA from 1 species
GAUGAACGCUGGCGGCGUGCCUAAUACAUGCAAGUCGAGCGAACGGACGAGAAGCUUGCUUCUCUGAUGUUAGCGGCGGACGGGUGAGUAACACGUGGAUAACCUACCUAUAAGACUGGGAUAACUUCGGGAAACCGGAGCUAAUACCGGAUAAUAUUUUGAACCGCAUGGUUCAAAAGUAAAAGACGGUCUUGCUGUCACUUAUAGAUGGAUCCGCGCUGCAUUAGCUAGUUGGUAAGGUAACGGCUUACCAAGGCAACGAUGCAUAGCCGACCUGAGAGGGUGAUCGGCCACACUGGAACUGAGACACGGUCCAGACUACUACGGGAGGCAGCAGUAGGGAAUCUUCCGCAAUGGGCGAAAGCCUGACGGAGCAACGCCGCGUGAGUGAUGAAGGUCUUCGGAUCGUAAAACUCUGUUAUUAGGGAAGAACAUAUAUGUAAGUAACUGUGCACAUCUUGACGGUACCUAAUCAGAAAGCCACGGCUAACUACGUG